UAAAUCUUUCCGUUCCGUGUCAGGUGAUAGAACCAGUUCACGCUCGGCUGGAAACAACCCAUCAAAAUAAUAAUAUCAUUAUCCUAUAAAACCAGAGCACAUGAUUCGAACAGUAUCAUUUUUCAGUUAGCUUUCUUUUCUUCAAUCGAAGACAAAAAAAAAACAUACCAAAAUGGUUGCUUCGAAGAGAUUAUCUGUUUUCUUCUUGGUCCUCAUUCUUGGACUUCUGGUACCUGGUCCAGCCAUAACAGGCGUCGAGGCAGGAGGAAAUAAUCAUCAUAACAAUCAUGCACUUGAAGCAUUAUUAGCUGCAGGUAUCCUUGCCAAACUGUUGGGCAAUCACCACCACCAUGGUCAUCAUCAUCAUCAUGGGCACCAUCAUGGGCACCAUCAUGGUUAACUUUUAAAAGAAGCAAGACAUUUUUCUAAAGUGAAUGUAUUCUGUACAGAUUGUAAAUAUGAAAGUGUAAAUACUUUUUUUGUACAUUAGAUUUAAUAAAUCUAUUUUUUACCUUA